GACAGAGGAUGCAAGCGUUAUCCGGAAUGAUUGGGCGUAAAGCGUCUGUAGGUGGCUUUUUAAGUCUGCCGUCAAAUCCCAGGGCUUAACCCUGGACAGGCGGUGGAAACUACCAAGCUGGAGUACGGUAGGGGCAGGGGAAGUUCCGGUGGAGCGGUGAAAUGCGUAGAGAUCGGAAAGAACACCAACGGCGAAAGCACUCUGCUGGGCCGACACUGACACUGAGAGACGAAAGCUAGGGGAGCGAAUGGG
rnacentral:rRNA from 1 species